GACGAACGCUGGCGGCGUGCCUAAUACAUGCAAGUAGAACGCACAGUUUAUACCGUAGCUUGCUACACCAUAGACUGUGAGUUGCGAACGGGUGAUUAACGCGUAGGUAACCUGCCUGGUAGCGGGGGAUAACUAUUGGAAACGAUAGCUAAUACCGCAUAAUAUUAAUUAUUGCAUGAUAAUUAAUUGAAAGGUGCAAUUGUACCACUACCAGAUGGCCCUGGUUUGUAUUAGCUAGUAGGUGAGGUAACGGCUCACCUAGUCGACGAUACAUAGCCGACCUGAGAGGGUGAUCGGCCACACUGGGACUGAGACACGGCCCAGACUCCUACGGGAGGCAGCAGUAGGGAAUCUUGGGCAAUGGACGAAAGGCUGACCGAGCAAGGCCGAGUGAGUGAAGAAGGUUCUCGGAUCGUAAAGCUCUGUUGUAAGAGAAGAACGGGAGUGAGAGUGGAAAGUUCACACUGUGACGGUAUCUUACCAGAAAGGGACGGCUAACUACGUG
rnacentral:rRNA from 1 species